rnacentral:rRNA from 1 species
GAUGAACGCUGGCGGCGUGCCUAAUACAUGCAAGUCGAGCGAACAGACGAGGAGCUUGCUCCUCUGACGUUAGCGGCGGACGGGUGAGUAACACGUGGAUAACCUACCUAUAAGACUGGGAUAACUUCGGGAAACCGGAGCUAAUACCGGAUAAUAUAUUGAACCGCAUGGUUCAAUAGUGAAAGACGGUUUUGCUGUCACUUAUAGAUGGAUCCGCGCCGCAUUAGCUAGUUGGUAAGGUAACGGCUUACCAAGGCAACGAUGCGUAGCCGACCUGAGAGGGUGAUCGGCCAAACUGGAACUGGGACACGGUCCAGACUCCUAAGGGAGGCAGCAGUAGGGAAUCUUCCGCAAUGGGCGAAAGCCUGACGGAGCAACGCCGCGGGAGUGAUGAAGGGCUUCGGAUCGUAAAACCCUGUUAUUAGGGAAGAACAAAUGUGUAAGUAACUAUGCACGUCUUGACGGUACCUUAUCAGAAAGCCACGGCUAACUACGGG